UGGGCGAGCCUGACGGUGCAACGCCGCGUGAGUGAUGAAGGUUUUCGGAUCGUAAAGCUCUGUUGACAGGGAAGAACCCACGUCAGUCGAACAGGCUGGCGUGCUGACGGUACCUGUCCAGAAAGCCCCGGCUAACUACGUGCCAGCAGCCGCGGUAAUACGUAGGGGGCAAGCGUUGUCCGGAAUUAUUGGGCGUAAAGGGCACGCAGGCGGUUUCGUCAGUCCGAUGUGACAGGCCACGGCUCAACCGUGGAAGGCCAUUGGAAACUGCGAAACUUGAGGACAGAAGAGGAGAGUGGAAUUCCACGUGUAGCGGUGAAAUGCGUAGAUAUGUGGAGGAACACCAGUGGCGAAGGCGACUCUCUGGUCUGUACCUGACGCUGAGGUGCGAAAGCAUGGGGAGCAAACAGGAUUAGAUACCCUGGUAGUCCAUGCCGUAAACGCUGAGUGCUAGGUGUUAGGGGUUUCGAUACCCGUAGUGCCGAAGCUAACGCAUUAAGCACUCCGCCUGGGGAGUACGACCGCAAGGUUGAAACUCAAAGGAAUUGACGGGGGCCCGCACAAGCGGUGGAGCAUGUGGUUUAAUUCGACGCAACGCGAAGAACCUUACCAGAUCUUGACAUCUUCCGCUACGCCUCGAGAGAGGCGGUUCCCCUUCGGGGGACGGAAUGACAGGUGGUGCAUGGUUGUCGUCAGCUCGUGUCGUGAGAUGUUGGGUUAAGUCCCGCAACGAGCGCAACCCCUAAUCUUAGUUGCCAGCAUUCAGUUGGGCACUCUAAGGUGACUGCCGGUGACAAACCGGAGGAAGGUGGGGAUGACGUCAAAUCAUCAUGCCCCUUA
rnacentral:rRNA from 1 species